GUGAAAUAAUUUUCGAUAUCUUUUUAGCCAUCGUUAUAUAGCAGAGAGAGAAACUAUACACUGAAACAAAAGUGGAAAUAAGAAUUACGACAGAGUUGGAAAAUUGCAUGAACGAAAAACCAAAACAGUAAACCCACACACCUGAAACUGAUCUUCCUAUCAAAUAAUUUAAGUAUCUGAGCUCAACACCAACUGAAUCCAACUUUACUUAACAUCCUUCUGUGAUGACCUAAACAGUAAGUACGGAUUACAAAUAUCAGAAGGUUCUACACUUAACUAAGCAAUUCAUACAAGAAAACGGCUGGAAAAUUAUAAUUCCUGUAUAAUAAACAUACUCUAGCUACACAAUUCUGAUUUUCUUACUAUUUUAUCUCAAAGACUAGAAUUAAUGAAAGCUGUUAUAGUAUUCAUGUCUUUCC
rnacentral:lncRNA from 1 species